GAAUGUUUGAAAUAGAAAAAGGGAAAAUCAUGCCAGUAUACAGUAGCUACAGACUUUUUCUUUUACAUAGAAAGAGGAGUUUGACAUGCAUUUAUUUUAUGGCUUGGAAUUUUGAAAAUUUGCAUAAAAACUUUUACAAACAUCAAUCCUCUAUCUCAUUUUCAAGAUUGUCAUUUAUAGUCUUGACCAUCAAGCAGACUGGUACCAUAUGCAAUGCAACAAAACAAGUCAAUAACUUGAAAUUCAAAAGCCAUUUUGAGAUGAUGGUAUAAACCUUACUAUUUUUCUUCAUUAUUUUAUGCUUCACUUGCUUUUUCAACAUCACUUUCCUCCCCCCUCCCCUCCCCCCCAAAAAAAAAUCCGCUAUCAUGUUUAUUUCAGGAUGAUCCAUGAGGGGUUUUACUAUGUAAAUGUGACAUGCUAAAAUUGGUGACAUGUUUAGAAAUGUGCCAGAGCAUUUCAAUUUAAUAUCACCAAAAAGGAUACCUUAUGGUCACCAUUUCAUAGAGCACAUUUUUUUUUGCAUAUCCAGAUACUACAAAAGUGUGUGUUAUUUUACGAAACGACAAGCCUGUCUAAAAAUUGUAAAAUAACACUGUUCUUGUAGACUUUCUUUCUAAAUGAUUUCUUGAGAUAUUUUGCUUCAUUGAUCAUUAGAAUAUAAAGAAUGGAAUAAAUCUAACAUUGAUGAAUCGUAAAAAAAAUAUUUUACUUUUUAUUGAAAUUGAGAUAAAAUUUCAGUUGCGCAGACUUAGAUCUAGAUCUAGGCAAUACAGCCUACGUAUGAUUGGGGGGGGGGGGGGGUCCGUUGUCCGGAUACUUAUAUAGACCCUAGACUCUAACGUUAGGCCCUACAAAAACUUAACGACUGUCCAGCCCGCACUUCGUGUGUAUGGGCUGCAGUAUGUAACGACGGUCGUUAGGCACGUUAGGAACGCUCACAAAAAUACCAAAAUUGCCCAAUUGGUAACAAGACUUGGCUUAAAUGAGAGCUUGAUAAUCAUGCGUCACAAUUCUGGAAACAAAUAUCUGUGAAAAAUGUAUUAUUUGAUGUUUUCUACAAGUCAAUUGUCUAUGACUAUGGCGAAAUUGCGACUCAGAAAAAUCGCACACGCAAUUUUGCCAUUCACGUGAAUGGCAAAAUUGCGCAUGCGAUUUUUCUGAGGUUGACUAUUCCCAACUUGAUAAAACACCCGUUUUGCUGCCAUAUAAUUAGUUAUUCUAAUAAAGUUAGCAUACUUAACACCAAAUGAACUUACCCUCCAAUAUUCGUUUAGUAUCUUCGGCCUUCGUGCCCAGUA